rnacentral:tRNA from 1 species
GAGGGUAUAGCUCAGUGGUAGAGCACGUGCUUAGCACGCAAGGGGUCCUGGGUUCAAUCCCCAGUGCCUCCA